rnacentral:tRNA from 1 species
GGGGUUGUGGCUCAGUGGUAGAGUGCUUGCCUACCAUGUAUGAGGCACUAGGUUCGAUCCUAAGAACCACA